rnacentral:rRNA from 1 species
UACGUAGGGUCCGAGCGUUGUCCGGAAUUACUGGGCGUAAAGAGCUCGUAGGUGGUUUGUCGCGUUGUUCGUGAAAACUCACAGCUUAACUGUGGGCGUGCGGGCGAUACGGGCAGACUUGAGUACUGCAGGGGAGACUGGAAUUCCUGGUGUAGCGGUGGAAUGCGCAGAUAUCAGGAGGAACACCCGUAGCGAAGGCGGCACUCUGGGCCGGUACUGACGCUGAGACGCGAAAGCGUGGGGAGCGAACAGG